UCCAUAUUCUUUAUCACCCUCAAUUACUCAUAAAUGUACAACUAGCCAUUCACCGGGCAACACAAUUAUUCAUUCAUACAAUACAACUGGCCAUUCACCGGGCAACACAAUCAUUCAUACUUGCAUUACAACUAGCCUUUCACCAGGCAACACAAUCAUUCAUACUUACAUUACAACUAGCCUUUCACCAGGCAACACAAUCAUUCAUACUUACAUUACAACUAGCCUUUCACCAGGCAACACAAGCAUUCAUUCAUACAUUACAACUAUCAUUCAUACAUACAUGGACACACAAUAUCACAUACAGUCACAAUAUUCA